UACAGAGGUCUCAAGCGUUGUUCGGAUUUAUUGGGCGUAAAGGGUGCGUAGGUGGCGAUGUAAGUCUGGUGUGAAAUCUCGGGGCUCAACCUCGAAAUUGCAUUGGAUACUGCGUUGCUUGAGGAUUGUAGAGGAGAGUGGAAUUCACGGUGUAGCAGUGAAAUGCGUAGAGAUCAUGAGGAAGACCAGUGGCGAAGGCGGGUCUCUGGACAGUUCCUGACACUGAGGCACGAAGGCCAGGGGAGCAAACGGG
rnacentral:rRNA from 1 species